rnacentral:rRNA from 1 species
AUUGAACGCUGGCGGCAUGCCUUACACAUGCAAGUCGAACGGCAGCACGGGUGCUUGCACCUGGUGGCGAGUGGCGAACGGGUGAGUAAUACAUCGGAACGUACCUUAUCGUGGGGGAUAACGCAGCGAAAGCUGUGCUAAUACCGCAUACGCCCUGAGGGGGAAAGCGGGGGAUCGAAAGACCUCGCGCGAUUAGAGCGGCCGAUGCCUGAUUAGCUUGUUGGUGGGGUAAAAGCCCACCAAGGCGACGAUCAGUAGCUGGUCUGAGAGGACGAUCAGCCACACUGGGACUGAGACACGGCCCAGACUCCUACGGGAGGCAGCAGAGGGGAAUUUCGGACAAUGGGGGCAACCCUGAUCCAGCAAUGCCGCGUGAGUGAAGAAGGCCUUCGGGUUGUAAAGCUCUUUCGUCAGGGAAGAAACACCGGCUCUAACACAGUCCGGGAAUGACGGUACCUGAAGAAUAAGCACCGGCUAACUACGUGCCAGCAGCCGCGGUAA